rnacentral:rRNA from 1 species
CUACGAGUGCUAUAAUGCAAGUCGAACGAGCAAUGAGAAAGUGGCAACACUUUUUCAAAGUUAGUGGCGAACGGGUGCGUAACGCGUGGGUAAUCUGCCUUGAAGAUCGGGAUAACUCCUCGAAAGAGGAGCUAAUACUGAAUGUGCUAUAUUUUUCAUAUGUAGAAUAUAGUAAAGGUAGCCGCAAGGCCUCUGCUUCAAGAUGAGCCCGCGUCCUAUUAGCUUGUUGGCAGGGUAAUAGCCUACCAAGGCUAUGAUGGGUAGCCGGUCUGAGAGGAUGGUCGGCCACACUGGGACUGAGAUACGGCCCAGACUCCUACGGGAGGCAGCAGUAGGGAAUAUUGCGCAAUGGGCGAAAGCCUGACGCAGCGACACCGUGUGAAGGAUGAAGGUCUUCGGAUUGUAAACUUCUGUCAAUUGGGGACGAAGGUGCUGGGGUUAAUAGCCUUCAGCAUUGACGGUACCUAAAAAGGAAGUCUCGGCUUACUCCGUGCCAGCAGCCGCGGUAAGACGGGGGAGGCAAGCGUUGUCCGGAAUUAUUGGGCGUAAAGAGCGCGUAGGUGGUUUAUCAAGUCAUUUGUGAAAACUUUAGGCUUAACUUAAAGAUUGCAAGUGAUACUGAUAUACUUGAGCACAGCAGAGGAAAGUGGAAUUCCUGGUGUAGCGGUGAAAUGCGCAGAUAUCAGGAAGAACACCAGUGGCGAAGGCGGCUUUCUGGGCUGUUGCUGACACUGAGGCGCGAAAGCUAGGGGAGCGAACAGGAUUAGAUACCCUGGUAGUCCUAGCCGUAACGAUGGACACUAGUGUGGGGAGGUUAUCG